UCAAACUCCGUGCUUUUGUUAAGUAAUGAUAGACCAUGUUAGGGGACUUUACUACUCAAUUUCUCUGCUUACAGGAUGAGUGGCUAUGUAUCCCUUCUCGCAGGAUGUGUUUUCUCUUAGUGAUUGCAGUGGUUUUAUUGAAAACACUUGGACAGCAGUUCUUCCAGCUUUGACCAGGUAUUUCAGAGGAAGAGUAUUGGUGUAGAAGGUUGUCCCAACUGGAGUCGAGUUCAGUGGUGAAGUUAGUGGCGUCAUUCAGAUUGAUGUUUGUCGGAGAUAUUACCAAGUGAAAGAUUUCAUUCAUGGUACCAUGAUGGAGGUUUGUCAAUUAAAGCUUUAUUCUAUGAGACACCAUAAAACCUUGUCAAAUAUUCUUGUGAGUCCUAGCCUUUUACAAAAAUUCUAUGAAAAAGAAAUUAAGGAAUGAAAGGUCCUACCGGGAGUCGAACUCAGGUCGCUGGAUUCAAAGUCCAGAGUGCUUAUCACUAUACCAUAGAACCAUGUUGUUGUCAAAUCUUUAACAAAAUUGCAAAAUUUAUAGCUAUGAACGGUUCAUUGUAUUUGAAAACUGGACAACCGUCUCAGACUAACCAAAACUGUUUGGAAAGCUAUCCCAUAUUAUACUCACACCAAGCCAAGUAAUGUCUUUAGUAGUUUACAACUUUUGAAUGCUAAUUCCAAAUCUGCAAGUCGAAGGAUGAAAUUGAACCUUCUGUCUAUCUCUGUAAUGCUGUGAAAGAACCCCUACUUUAAGGUGUUCUUUGACUUUCUGUGUGGUUCUUUUAAGCCUUUCUGUGUACUCUUUUUACAAGUAGGGGCCCUUCGACUUCUUUAAAAAGACCCACCAAUGUUGUCUGUGUACCAAUAUUGUCUUCUUUAGGCCUGUUAGACAUUCAAAAUUUGUGUGCCAAAUGAUGUGGUACUGUUUCAUGUAUUGAUACUCUUUCAAGAGUUGCGAGUCUUAUACAAUUAAAAAAAAAAAAAAAAUGAGAGGUCCUACCGGGAGUCGAACCCAGGUCGCUGGAUUCAAAGUCCAGAGUGCUAACCACUACACCAUAGAACCAUGUUGUUGUCUAGCCUCUUACAAGCUUCCUUAAAUAUUAACUGCCAUCCAACAAAUUUAGCUGUCAACAGUUCUUCAUAAGUAGAUUACAAUUUUAGAAUUACCAAACAUGUUUGAAAGAAAGUCUGGUAAUUGAGAAAUGUUCUUUGUUUCACAAACAAAGAAGAUAUUGACAUCAUUUGGGAAUCUCUGCGGUGCUACGCUACAAGACACUUGAAAAAGGUUAGAGGCAGUCCGGUAUUUCUCUGGUUAUAUUUUUCUGCAAGUUCACUAGCUAUUCUCUGUCCGUAGAGUCUGCUUAGCUUUUAAUGUGUAAAAUUGUCUUAUUUUGAGUUUAAAGUUCAAGCAAAGAACCUGCUUGUACUUUCUGUGUGGGUCUUUUUACAGGUAGAGGCAAAGGAAUAUGUUGCCCUAUUAAAGAAUAUAGGGAUGUUCAGUAGUGUGGUAAUAUCUCAUUAUAUCUGCGGAUAUGUUUAUUAUUCAUGCAAUGGUGUCUGUCUGCCUGGAGUUUGUCUCGUCUCUGGGAUUGUAAGGUGUCAAAGAUAAGAACAUAAUUCCUAAUGAAGGCAGGUUCUUAUUGGAUUUUGGUACUUUAUACGGUCUAUUGGUGUUGGUCAAUGGUGUUUUGUGAACUCCCUGCGACUUCCAAAAGCUCCUUAUUGAAGGUAAUUCUUUAAUUUAUUCGUAAUCCAAUGACGGUGUCGUUGUGAGAAUUUCUUACAUCUUAAAAUGCCAUAGCAGUUUUCAAGAAUUGUAUGCCGUCAUUAGAACUUUUAUCUGCUUUCCCCUCCUCCUCUAAAUCAUAGUUUUCAAUUGUUCCAUUGGUGGUGCCUCCUUUGCAUCAUAUCUUUCUUCUAUCCCAUGAGCAAUGGUUCAGGAUUCCCAUCGCUCUCUAGUCCCUACUAGUUUGUUAAGUAUGCUCCAAAAAUGAUGUGUUAGUGUGAUUUCAACAAAGAGAUUCUCUGGUUUCACUGUUACAGGAUAGUUAAUGGCGGGUGGCUACACAUUCCUUCCCUGCAUGACAUGUUUUCAAUUGAUGACUGAAGUGGUGUUCUUGAAAGUACUGGAAAAUGAGGGCAAUCCAGCUUAUGCUAUUCUAGUACAGGGAAUUGUUGUAGACAUUUUAUGAUAUGCAUGUGUUAUGAGUUCUGUGGAACUUCAUUAUCUACAUGCUAGCGGAGUCGGUUCUUCUCCUCUAGUGAGAGGCAGCAGCUGCGUCAAAUUUACUUGAGAAAAAUGAAGAUAAUGUUCCACGCUUAUUGGCUGUUACAUUGGGUUAUGGAAGCAAGUGAAUAUUAGCCAAACAGGCAACUUAAGUACAGUGUCAUCUGGUCUGAAAGUGUAAUAGUGAUGCUGAUUUGUUAUUGAAUCUUUACACUUCUGUUUUAAAUA